rnacentral:rRNA from 1 species
AGCUGCAGUAUAAAUAACUGUACAAAGGCAGCAUAAUAAUUUGUUUUUUAAUUGAAAACUAGAAUGAAUGAUUAAAUGAAAUAUAAACUAUAUCAAAUUUAAAAAAUAAAUUUAUUAUUUAAAUAAAAAAAUUUAAAUAAAUUUUAAAGACGAGAAGACCCUAAAGAAUUUUAAUAAUAAAUUAUACUAUAAAUUUAAAAUUUAUUAUAUUAAUUGGGGAAAUUUUAAAAUUUAAAAAAUUUUUAAUUAAAUAAACAUAAAUUUUUGAAUAUUUAAAAUUUUUUAAAAAAUUAAAUUAAAUUACCUUAGGGAUAACAGCAUAAUUUUUUUAAAAAGUUCAAAUUUAUAAAAAAGUUUAUGACCUCGAUGUU